rnacentral:rRNA from 1 species
GGAUGAACGCUGGCGGUAUGCUUAACACAUGCAAGUCGAACGGUACCUUCGGGUAUAGUGGCGGACGGGUGAGUAACGCGUGAGAAUCUAUCUUCAGGUCGGGGACAACAGUUAGAAAUGACUGCUAAUACCGGAUGUGCCGAAAGGUAAAAGAUUUAUUGCCUGAAAAAGAGCUCGCGUCAGAUUAGCUAGUAGGUGGUGUAAGAGACUACCUAGGCUUCGAUCUGUAGCUGGUCUGAGAGGACGAUCAGCCACACUGGAACUGAGACACGGUCCAGACUCCUACGGGAGGCAGCAGUGGGGAAUUUUCCGCAAUGGGCGAAAGCCUGACGGAGCAAUACCGCGUGAGGGACGAAGGCUCUUGGGUCGUAAACCUCUUUUCUCAAGGAAGAUUCAGACGGUACUUGAGGAAUAAGCAUCGGCUAACUCUGUG